AGUGAACGCUGGCGGCAGGCCUAACACAUGCAAGUCGAACGGCAGCACAAGAGCGCUUGCUCUCUGGGUGGCGAGUGGCGGACGGGUGAGGAAUGCAUCGGAAUCUGCCCAUUUGUGGGGGAUAACCUCGGGAAACCGGGACUAAUACCGCAUACGACCUACGGGUGAAAGCAGGGGAUCUUCGGACCUUGCGCAGAUGGAUGAGCCGAUGCCGGAUUAGCUAGUUGGAGGGUAAAGGCCCACCAAGGCGACGAUCCGUAGCUGGUCUGAGAGGAUGAUCAGCCACACUGGGACUGAGACACGGCCCAGACUCCUACGGGAGGCAGCAGUGGGGAAUAUUGGACAAUGGGCGCAAGCCUGAUCCAGCCAUGCCGCGUGUGUGAAGAAGGCCUUCGGGUUGUAAAGCACUUUUGUUGGGAAAGAAAAGCAGCCGGUUAAUACCCGGUUGUCAUGACGGUACCCAAAGAAUAAGCACCGGCUAACUUCGUG
rnacentral:rRNA from 1 species